ACAUGAAUCAGCCACCGGCAAUCACUCUUGAGUCUCUCCUUGUCCUCCACUGAGAGGGAUGCCAGCCACAGUGAUUCUUAGUCAUUGUUUUGGAUGCUCAGCCUGCCCUGUUCCUGGCAUGGGAAGGAAGGGAUGGGGGGGGGGCCUGAGGGACAAACACCAAUUUUGGCUUCUGAGAAGCUGAGUUUGAGGGGCCUGAAGAACAGGUUGGAGGGGAGCUGUGGGUGUCAGAGGCAAAAACGGGGUUUCUGUGCUGAGUCUGAGUGAGGUGUCCUGGUAAGGAGAGAAGAGAAAUAGGAUCAGGGCUGGGUGCCCAGCUCAAGCUGGUUACUUUCCAUUCAGCCUGUGCUAGAGGAAGCCCAGAGGCUCUCCCAUCAAGGGGAGGAUGGAUCUCAGAACACAGGUGAGUCUCUUGGGAUGAGGCGGGUUUGUAUCACCUUCCAUCCACUGAGCCAGACCCAGGGAAAGUAACUCCUCUCCUCUGUCCUGGACAUCAUUUCACCUGCUUCUCCCUCCAGGCAGACCCAAGGCUGGCAAUUUCCUUUGGGUGGCCAGAGGGUUUGGGGAAAUCAGGAACUGCACACGAGGGACAGGUGUCCAGGUAGAGCCUUCAUAGACCUGUCUCUUGGGCAUAUGGCCCAGAUACAAUUGCCAUCUAGACAUGUCCAUCUGGCUGCCCUCAAUCAACUCAAACUGACCAAAGCCCAAGCAGAAAUUAGGUUCUGAAUCUCAGAGACUCACCCUUGCCCCAGGCAGGAAGUCUCCCAUCAUUGCCAACCCUGCCCUGUAGCACCCCACCUUCCACCCCAUUUCCUGCACAAUUUCUGCAGCUUCCAGUACAUAUUACCCAAUCUGGAUUUGGGCCUAUUUGCCCUAUGUGCUACAAAGCCAAUCUACUGACUUUGGGGUUGUGAAGGAAAGUAUAGCAUUUAUUGCAGGGCAUCAAGCAAUGAGAACAGGCAGCUCAGGCUCAAAAGACUUGAACUUCCCAAUGGCUUUCAGGGCAGGUUUUUAAAGGCAACAGUAGGGUUGUGCAUUUCAGGGUGCCUGAAAAUAUGGAGGACAUUCUUCUGUUUAGCUGGUGAUGUGAUAACAAGGUGGUGUUUCAGGAAUUAUCGUCAACCUUCUGGUCCAACUGGCCUGGGGCCACAGUUUCCAUCUGGAGGGAGGGUGGAUUCUAUAAAAACAAUUCAGGAAUGUACAUCACACUUUUUUAUCUACGUCCUUCUAGGAGGAAACAGAGUUUCUGUGACUCUGCUCCACAGUUAAUCUACUGUUUAAAUUUUUACCAGUCCUUCUGGCCUAACUGCUAUACUUUGUUUCUACAUAUUCACAUCCUUUUAAUCAUUAAUCCUUGAGUGUGAAUUCCUGAGACUCAGGUGAAGCUUAAGGGACUAAAGCAAAGUGGAUCACCUUCCAUCCACUGAGCCAGACCCAGGGAAAGUAACUCCUCCUUUCACUGCAAUAGAUGGGGCACGCAGGGUUGGGAAUGAGCCUUGUAUACCCAAGAGGGUCCCAAAUUGUCCUGCUGGGUCUCAUACACUGGACUGUCUGUGUCCAAGCUUUCACCCUGUGGUCUUCAUUUUAUCCUCCAUACAGCAACCAAAUUAAGAAGCAAAUUUAAUCCUGUAACUUUCUGACUUAAAGCCCUUCCCUGAGGUAUUGUUGCCUUCAGGGUAAAGACAAGAUUCUUGGAGUUGUAGUUGAAUAGCAUGGCUCUCCACAUUUUAAAGGAACAUGUUAAACGGUACACCUCCAAUGAUACAAAAAAUAUAUCAACACAGUGUUAUUCAUUGCAGCAUUUUUUGUAAUUUCAAAAUAUUGAAAACCACCUCAGUGACCACAUGUAGGACAGUGGUUGCAUAAACUAUGGUGCAUUCACAUGUGGAGUGCUCCAGAGCUAUGAGAGAACUUAAGGAAGAUCCUUGUGAAUUUAGAUGGAGGUGAUUUCUAGGAUCUAUUGAUCGUGGAGAGAGAGAAGUGAGUGAUGGCUUGGAGCAAGACCUUAAUUUUCUGUUCAGGAAUUGAACCUGGGCAGCCUGGAUGAAAACCAGGAGUCUAGCCACUAGACUAACUAAAAGGUGACUAGAGGCUAAAAAUAGAAUUGCCCUGAUUCUUGCCCCCUGUUGAAAGCAUGAAUGGUUCAAGUAGGCAAAGACUGUGAAAACAGGUAUAAAGUUUAUUAUUAGAGUUACAGUAUAACAUGUGAGAGAGCACACAGAGAAGUACUUUAAGACAGAAACACAGAAGUAAUACACACCCUAAAGAGGAGUGUGGGUCAGGGCAUCCGUCUGAGUGAGGAGUGAGGAGUGCUCCAGAGAGGUGAUUUUUUUUUUUUUUUUGUCUUUUUAGGGCCAUGCCCAAGGCAUAUGGAGGUUCCCAGGCUAGGGGUUGAAUCUGAGCUGCAGUUGCCGGCCUAUGCCACAAUCACAGCAAUGGCAGAUCUGACCUACACUACAGCUCACGGCAAUGCUGGAUCCUUAACCCACUGAGUGAGGCCAGGAUGGAACCUGCAUCCUCAUGGAUACCAGUCAGAUUCAUUUCCACUGAACAGUGACAAGGGAACUCUCCAGAGAGAUGAUUUAAAUCACUUGUAUAGGACAGUUCUUCCAGGUCUUUGUUUACCUUUAGUCAAUUAUCCUGUUUUAAUUCUCACACAUAGGACCCUCUGCCCUAUGUGUGCACAUCUUUUAGCAAAGAUGGAUUCCAGAGCAAAGUAUACUGGGAUGGUAUCAGGACUUAUACCUGGACCCCCUCCCUUUCUGACCCCCAGGAGUCUCCCUGUGCCUGUGUCAUUGGGGAGUUCUCCUUGACCCCAGGAGUGAUUGGAGUGGUUAUCUUUCUUAGAUGGAAAAUGAAACAAGGCCUAAAAGGACAGACUCCUUACGGAACAGGCCCAUGUAACAGAUGAGUCCCCAGAGACAAAGAUAGCCCCAAGGCCACAGUCUACAUGGCUCAACCAAAGGACCCCUGUUUAUACAAAAAACAAAACAAAACAAAACAAAACUCCCCUGCAGCCGGGAAGC
ensembl:lncRNA